CACGCAUCAUCAUAAUGAGGUGGGUCACGCUUUCACAACUCCUACAGUGAGCGGAAAUGUAACCAAAGAAAGUUGAAACGAACCUUGGAAUCAUACUAGCAUUUAUUUUUAUUUCUUGCAGUCAUUCACUUCAGUUUGAUUUUUUAGAUUUUCAUUAGUUUCAUUAGCUCUUCAUUUAGCGGGAAUUCUGGGAACUUGCCUGUUUCAUAAUUCUGGCUAUAUCUGAACUGAUCUGUUCUUCCUGUGAACAAGCAGCCAGCACAAAUAAUAUGCCUCAAUCACCUGUCUUAUCAUCAUCAUCAUCAUCAUCACCCUUAUAAUAUUUAUUUAUGUCCCACUUUUUUCUCAGUCCAGGACUCAAGGCAGCAUACACAGGUAAAACAGAACAAGCUACAAACAGAAAAGGAAAUCAUUAAAAUGGAAUUAUAAAUACCAAUAGUAUUAAAAUAAUAUAAAAAGAUGCAUUAAAAUACUACGGCUCAGGCUUCCACAACAUGGUGCCCUCCCAAUAUUUUUUUUAUAUUACAGCUUCCAUCAGCACCAGCCAACAUGGGCAAUAGUCAGAGAUGGCAGUUGUAGUCCAAAACAUCUGGAGGGCACCAGGUUGGGAAGGUGCCCUGGUCUCUCUGUUAAAAGGGUGUCCAUAUGAUAGCUUCCAAGUGUCUUUUCAUUCUUGUAGGGCACAAUCGGUCAUCUAGUUUGCUAGGGAGCCAAGGGCGAUGAAAUGGUUGGUUUGCAAGGGGGAGGGGGAAGUCUCAAUGUGAACUUGACAAAACACAAGCAGAGCUUAUCAUCAAGUGUACUCUGCACACUCUCAAAAUGUUUAGCAGUGGUCUGUAUAACAAAACUUGUGCAGACUGCUUCACAGAGGUAUCGAUCAUGCUGUCAAGUCCUGUUGUGUGCCCCUGUACAGUUCCAGCUGUUCCAGCCUGAGCUUUGAACAAGGUGUCUGAAUGGAUCCAGCCUACCACAGGGCUGCUCAAUUCCUGCCUCUCUUCUCUUCUUACAUCUACCAGGGGACUGUGGCUCCAACAAUCUUAAAAUAAAUGGUUCUGAGACCAAUACUAAAGAAAUUCUUCCCGGACGCUGAGACUGGCCGCAACCACCACCACCACCAAGUCGAAAUGCCUUGUCACUGCGCAGUUCCAGCCUCUGUAGGAAAACACCUAUUACAUGGAUCCAUUUUAAUUGGCUUUCUUGACCGAGUUUGACUCAGAAACUGUUUUGUUUGCCCUGAUGAAUUAGCUACACCAGUAUAUGUUGCUAAGAUCCACAAAUGGAAGUUUGAGUUCCAAGGAUAUAAUGAGACAUAUCAUGCAGUUGUCUAGUGGAAAGACCCUGCAUAACAUCCACAGCUUGACAAAGGAAGUCAAGCAUAUAACUAUUGUGAUAGGCAGAUUUUUCCAAGGCCUAUUGGAGAUUAUGUAUAUCAACUAGGAAAUGUGCACAAUUCCUUCUUCAUGGGCAAAUCAUGUGUACAUUCUCCAUGAUGCUUGAUUGUUAUGUGCAUUAACUACUCAGCUUACAUUCUCCUUAACAAAUGCAUCAGAGCAGUUAAAAUAAUUUGUGAGGUAUUUUAAAAUGCUGCAUGAAUCUGAAACCCCUCUUGCUGAAAUAACACAAUGUUAGUUACAAUGUUAAGUUUCAGUUUGUCAACCUGGGGUGGAUCUACACAGAGGCGGGGAAAUGCUAUAAACAAGUCAGAAAUUAGACCCUUAUAACAACAACAAUGGAAAAACACAUAUAUAAAUUUCCUGCUCUCUCGCACCAUCUCCUGUUGCAUGUUUAUAGCACAUUCAAAUUGUUGUUUCUUUAUUAAUGUAGCUGAGUCCCUGGUUUUGUUCCUGAACUGGCUCCAAACACUGGUUUACCACAUCCACUGCCUCUCUUGCAUUGGAUGACAGGAACAAGAGUUAUGAGAUAUCAGACGUGUCUAAAGAGCCAAGGCUUAUUGUAGCAACAGAAGGCAAUGAAAGGCUACAUCACAUUUUGUAGACUUCAACGAUAUCCCAUGUCCCCUAAAUUGAAGGUUUAUAGGCCCCUGAACAAUUGAGUAUUAAGCAGCCAGUGAAGAAGAGAAGGGAGAUCAUUCCCUGCAAAUACUAGUGAACAUUAUAACACAAAUGUCUUUGUCAGACAGGAGAUCCUCUUGAAACUUUGCCGCCUCUUUUACAAUAUUUCAGCACCUAAUAAUCACACAAAAUGUGUUUCAUGUUGGCAGGUUGAGAAGAGUUACUGAACAUACUGAUCAUCUCAUGCUGGAACAGAAAAACAAUCUAUCUGCCCAUGCUGCUGAUGCAGAGAACGAGAAUGUCAGCAAUGAAGGCAACACGAAGGAAAC
rnacentral:lncRNA from 1 species